rnacentral:lncRNA from 1 species
AAAUGCUAAUUCUUUAUUCUGCAUGACUCUAGGAGGUCCAAACAAGAGAUUGUUUUCUUCUACAAGCUGGGUGCAGCAAAAUUCUGCUGUGAGAACCAGGCCAUCUUUAAGAGUUUACGUGGAUGGAAGAAAGUUCCAACACUAGGACCUUGUUGUACCCCGAAGUUUCUAGAGAACUUGAAAUUUCCUAGGUCCAGAUGUGAAGAGAAGCAAGACAUUUCUACUUCUACCCUUUUGCUAAAGCAAGCAGAGUUAAAGGAAUUCCAUAAAGACUCAGAAAAGUGUUUUGGUUUGAUACUGGUCAAAUGCCAGGCACCUAUGGAAUUUGUUUGCUCACCCUCUCUUGCUUUCAGCUGGGCAGAGAGGAAAAAAAGUUAAAAAAAGGGUUCAUGAGUUGAGAUGAGGAGUGGGAGAAAAUAUGAGCAAAACGGGUUCAGAUUUAAAGGUCUAAAGUAAAUUUAUUAUAGACAGAGUCAGAGGGGGAUAAUGAGAAGUGAAAUUAACCUUAAACCACCUUUUUUCCCCCCUGCCCCUCCCUCUUCCCCACUAACAGCACAGGGAGACAGGGUGUGGGGGUUUUGGUCAGUUCAUUAUUUGAGAUCUUUUUCUGUUCACUCAGGGAGAGG